rfam:Treponema succinifaciens DSM 2489, complete genome.
GGCCAAGCGAGAACAGGUCCAUGGCGGAUGCCUUGGGGCCGCAAGGCGAUGAAGGCCGCGGCAAGCUGCGAAAAGCCCGGGGGAGGAGCACACAUCCUGUGAUCCCGGGGUAGCCGAAUGGGGCAACCCGCGCGCCGGGAGGCGCGCACCGCGCGGGCGAAUGAAAUAGCCCGGCGGAGCCACACCGCGUGAAGUGAACCAUCUAAGUAACGCGGGAGAAGAAAUCAACAGAGAUUCCCUGAGUAGUGGCGAGCGGAAGGGGAGGAGCCCAAACCGCCUAGAGCGGGGUUGUAGGGCCGCAUGGGGAUGACCCGCGGAGGGGAACGAAUCGGGACGCGCAGCGGAAGGAGCCGGAGAGCUCCGCCGGAGAGGGUGACAGCCCCGUACGCGCAACGCGCCCCGCCUCCGUGAUGCGGUGCCUGAGUAGGGCGGGGCACGAGGAACCCUGCCUGAAUCCGGGUCGACCACGAUCCAAGGCUGAAUACUCUGCGGCCACCGAUAGCGAAGAAGUACCGUGAGGGAAAGGCGAAAAGAACCCCGGCGAGGGGAGUGAAAGAGAACCUGAAACCAUGGACCGCCAAGAUGCCGCGGGCACAGGAGCUUGCGGCGUGUCUUUUGUAGAAUAAGCCUGCGAGUCGCGGUGCGCGGCGAGGCCAAGGGAUUGCAGUCCCGGAGCCGGAGGGAAACCGAGUCCGAACAGGGCGGAGAAAGUCGCGCGUCGCGGACCCGAAGCCAAUGUGAUCUUACCAUGGGCAGGGUGAAGCAGGGGUGAGACCCUGUGGAGGCCCGCACGGUAAUCUGUUAAAAAAGGUAGCGAUGACCUGUGGUAAGGAGUGAAAGGCUAAACAAACAUGGAGAUAGCUGGCUCUCCCCGAAAUGCCUUUAGGGACAGCCUCGCGCAGGGACGCCGGAGGUAGAGCUCUGGACGGGAGAGGGGGAGUCAAAUCCUACCGGUUCCGACCAAACUGCGAAUGCCGGCGCCUGUCGCGCGGGAGUGAGACUGCGAGCGACAAGGUCCGUAGUCGAGAGGGAAACAGCCCGGACCGCCGGCCAAGGCCCCAAAGCCAUGCUGAGUGUGAAAUGAGGUGCGGAUGCGCAGACAGCCAGGAGGUUGGCUCAGAAGCAGCCAUUCCUUGAAAGAGUGCGUAACAGCUCACUGGUCGAGCAUCCGCGCGCAGACAAUGUAGCGGGGCUAAGCAUGGCGCCGAAGCCGCGGAUUCGCGCCUUAUGGCGCGACUGGUAGGGGAGCAUUCCGCUGACCCAUGAAGGCGCGCCCGCGAGGGGCGCUGGAGGAGGCGGAAGAGAGAAUGCAGGCAUAAGUAACGAAAAGACGGGUGCGAUCCCCGUCCGCCGGAAGCCCGAGGUUUCCAGGGUAAAGGCAAUCUGCCCUGGGUAAGCCGGCCCCUAAGGCGAGGGCGAAAGACCGUAGCCGAUGGGAAAUACGGUCCAUAGUCCGAUGCUUCCCCAUGUUUCGAGGGCAGGACGCAUGAGGCGAGGCCAGGCCGGAGAACGGUAGUUCCGGCCGGAGCGGCGAGGCGUCGAGGGCGGCAGGCAAAUCCACCGCCCGAGCCGAGCCGUGAGCGAGCGGAGAGAAAGUCGAAGCGAAGCUGGCGCAGCCAUGGUGCCGGGAAAUACUGUCUAAGGCCAGGCAUGGGGGAACCGUACCGCAAACCGACACAGGUGGGCAGGAUGAGAAAUCCGAGGCGCACGAGCGACCUCGCGUUAAGGAACUCGGCAAAAUGCGCACGUAACUUCGGGAGAAGUGCGGCUCAUGUUAGAGAUGAUAAUGAGCGGCAGAAAGCAGGCCCAGGCGACUGUUUAUCAAAAACACAGCCAUCUGCGAACCAGCGAUGGGACGUAUAGGUGGUGACACCUGCCCGGUGCCGGAAGGUUAAGGGGAGCGGUCAGCCGCAAGGCGAAGCUGCGAACCGAAGCCCCGGUAAACGGCGGCCGUAACUAUAACGGUCCUAAGGUAGCGAAAUUCCUUGUCGGGUAAGUUCCGACCCGCAUGAAUGGUGUAACGAUUCUGGGCGCUGUCUCAACGCGAGACUCGGUGAAAUUUAUGUUCCGGUAAAGAAGCCGGAUACCCGCAAUUAGACGGAAAGACCCCGUGAACCUUCACCGCAGCUUAGCGCUGGGACCCUAUUCGGCAUGUGUAGGAUAGCUGGGAGCCUGCGAGGCGUGGCCGUCAGGCUGCGCGGAGGCGCCGGUGAAAUACCAGCCCUGCCGGAUGGGGUUUCUAACCCGGCCCCUUGAGCGGGGGCGGGGACAGGGCUAGGCGGGCGGUUUGACUGGGGCGGUCGCCUCCCAAACAGUAACGGAGGCGCGCGAAGGUCCCCUCACUCCGGUUGGGAAUCGGAGCGCGAGUGUAAAGGCACAAGGGGGCUUGACUGCGAGGCAGACAUGCCGGGCAGGUGCGAAAGCAGGUCUUAGUGAUCUGGCGGUUCCGAGUGGAAGGGCCGUCACUUAACGGACAAAAGGUACUCCGGGGAUAACAGGCUGAUUUUCCCCAAGAGUUCACAUCGACGGGAAAGUUUGGCACCUCGAUGUCGGCUCAUCGCAUCCUGGGGCUGGAGCAGGUCCCAAGGGUUUGGCUGUUCGCCAAUCAAAGCGGUACGUGAGCUGGGUUCAGAACGUCGCGAGACAGUUCGGUCCCUAUCUGUUGCGGGCGUUGGACGCCUGAGUGGGGCUGCCUUUAGUACGAGAGGACCGAGGCGGACAGACCUCUGGCGUGCCGGUUAUCCUGCCAAGGGUAGGCGCCGGGUAGCUAAGUCUGGAAGGGAUAACCGCUGAAAGCAUCUAAGCGGGAAGCCCGCCACGAGACUAGGCGUCCCUAGGGACGUGAUCCCCCUGAAGGCCCCCGGGAGAAUACCGGGUCGAUAGGCCGCAGGUGCAGGCGCGGCGACGCGCACAGCCGAGCGGUACUAAUAGGCCGUGAGGCUUGGCCAU